CAGCAGCCGCGGGAACACGAACCGUGCGAACGUUAUUCGGAAUUACUGGGCUUAAAGCGCGUGUAGGCGGCUCGGCACGUCCGGAACUGAGAUCCCCCGGCUUAACCGGGGAAGUGGCGGUGGAAACUACCAAGCUGGAGUACGGUAGGGGCAGAGGGAAUUUCUGGUGGAGCGGUGAAAUGCGUUGAGAUCGGAAAUAACACCAACGGCGGAAGCACUCUGCUGGUCCGACACUGACACUGAGAGACGAAAGCUAGGGGAGCAAAUGGGAUUAGAUACCCCUGUAGUCCCUGUCUCUUAU
rnacentral:rRNA from 1 species